rnacentral:rRNA from 1 species
AUUGAACGCUGGCGGCAGGCCUAACACAUGCAAGUCGAGCGGAGCGGCGUACGGGUGAGUAAUGCCUAGGAAUCUGCCUGGUAGUGGGGGAUAACGUCCGGAAACGGGCGCUAAUACCGCAUACUAUCAGAUGAGCCUAGGUGGGAUUAGCUAGUUGGUGGGGUAAAGGGCUACCAAGGCGACGAUCCGUAACUGGUCUGAGAGGGUGAUCAGUCAAACGGGAACUGAGAACCGCUCCAGACUCCUACGGGGGGCAGAAGAGGGGAAUAUUGGACAAUGGGGGAAAGCCUACUGAAGCAAUGCGGGGUGUGGGAGGAAGGCCUUCGGGUGGUAAGGCACUUUCAGCGGGGAGGCGUUACCCGCAGAAGAAGCAACGGCUAACUCCGUGCCAGCAGCCGCGGUAAUUC